GCAGGAAUUGAAGAACCUGAUGUUGUACUGCUCGAUGAUUGAUCAGGAGAACUGGUGCUUGAUCUUUGUGAAGAGUCUGGAGAAACAGUGAGAGUAUUCUGUGAAGCAAGAGGAGGAAAAUCAGCUUCUGAGAAACGAGGAGCAGAUGUCUGAUGAUAAACUCUUGUUUCUUCAGGUACAGAAUUGUUCUCCUGAUGCUCUGUUUCUUCAGGUGUAGAGUUGCUCUCUUUAAAGCUCAUCUGCCAUGCUUUAAGCAAUGGAGUUAAGACAGAUGGAUGGCUUUUCUUGUAGGUGUCUUCAAAAGGAAACAGGGUCUCAUCAAAUAGCACAUGUCUUGUGAUGUAUACACGACCAGUAGGUGGGUAUAAACACCUAUAUCCUUUGUAUUUGUCGUUGUAGCCUAGGAAAACACACUUUAGUGAUCUAGGAUCGAACUUGUUGAUAGCAUAGUCUCGCAAAGAGGGAUAGCAAGCACACCCAAAUGUUCUUAGAAAGCUGUAGUUAACUUGAGUAUCAAACAGCUUCUGAUGUGGUGUUUGAUGAUCUUCCAGGGUUGAAGUUGGUAGAAGAUUGCUCAGAAAGGCUGCUGUGAAGAAGGCUUCUACCCAAUACUUCAAUGGCAUCUUACUGUCGAACAUCAUAGACAGCCCCAACUCGGUGAUGUGACGAUGCUUCCUCUCAGCAAGACCGUUCUGCUGUGGAGUAUGAGGGCAUGAGAUCUGUUGCUGAAUCCCAUCUUUUUGCAGGUGAUUCAGGAACGCAGAGCUGAUGAACUCUCCACCACCAUCACACUGAAAGGUUUUUAUUCUACUCUUCAGUUGAUUUUCUACUAAUGCUUGGAACUUGCAAAAGAUAGAAUAGAAAUCUGAUUUAUAUUUCAUAGGAUAGAGCCAACAAUAUCUCGACCAAUGGUCAAUGAAUAUUACAUAGUAUCUAAAUCCUUGAAUACUCUCUGUUGGAGCAGGUCUCCAUAAGUCGCAGUGAACCUUCUCCAGAGGAGCUUUAGCAACAAAGGUUGAAGGUUGAAAAGGUAAUCUACUACUCUUGCCAAACUGACAUGAUGCACACAUCUCGCUUGAUCUUGAGCUUAUUGAAAUGAGUUGAUUUGCUGACAGGUGCUGGAGAAUCUGCUGAUGAGGAUGCCCAAGUCUCCUAUGCCAAACAACAUCUGAUGCACAAUGCUGCCUAGAGGAGUAGAGAGCUUUUAUUUGAUGAGCGUUCUCCAACUGAUACAACCCGUUAACCUUUCUUCCCUUGGUAAGUACCUUCUUUGUGAUUUUGUCCUUAAAACGAACCUCAGAGUUAUCAAAUUUGACAGAGCAAGGAUAAUCAUCUGUAGCUUUAGAAACUGAAACUAGAGAUUUCUUUAUUUUAGGACACACAAUAACAUUCUUUAGAGGUAGAUUACCUGAUGCUGAAGCCAAGUUUGUAGAUCCAGUAUGAGUUAUAGGCAGAUAUGACCCAUCUCCAACCAUAACUGUAUCUGAACCGUGAUAAGGCUGAGCAUGUUGCAGGUUGUGCACAGAGUUGGUGACGUGAGCAGUAGCUGCAGAGUCAGCAUACCAGUCAGCACUUGCCUCAUCAGAAAUGUCAGUAAUGCGCAUAGCAGCAAGGGCUUGAGUAGAUUCUUCAGACUGGUAGUUGUUGUUGUAGCGAAAGUAGCAUCUGAAUGCUUGAUGUCCUGGUUUUCCACAGAUCUGACAGACA
rnacentral:lncRNA from 1 species